rnacentral:rRNA from 3 species
CCGGAGCUUGCUCCACCGGAAAAAGAAGAGUGGCGAACGGGUGAGUAACACGUGGGUAACCUGCCCAUCAGAAGGGGAUAACACUUGGAAACAGGUGCUAAUACCGUAUAACAAUCGAAACCGCAUGGUUUUGAUUUGAAAGGCGCUUUCGGGUGUCGCUGAUGGAUGGACCCGCGGUGCAUUAGCUAGUUGGUGAGGUAACGGCUCACCAAGGCCACGAUGCAUAGCCGACCUGAGAGGGUGAUCGGCCACAUUGGGACUGAGACACGGCCCAAACUCCUACGGGAGGCAGCAGUAGGGAAUCUUCGGCAAUGGACGAAAGUCUGACCGAGCAACGCCGCGUGAGUGAAGAAGGUUUUCGGAUCGUAAAACUCUGUUGUUAGAGAAGAACAAGGAUGAGAGUAACUGUUCAUCCCUUGACGGUAUCUAACCAGAAAGCCACGGCUAACUACGUGCCAGCAGCCGCGGUAAUACGUAGGUGGCAAGCGUUGUCCGGAUUUAUUGGGCGUAAAGCGAGCGCAGGCGGUUUCUUAAGUCUGAUGUGAAAGCCCCCGGCUCAACCGGGGAGGGUCAUUGGAAACUGGGAGACUUGAGUGCAGAAGAGGAGAGUGGAAUUCCAUGUGUAGCGGUGAAAUGCGUAGAUAUAUGGAGGAACACCAGUGGCGAAGGCGGCUCUCUGGUCUGUAACUGACGCUGAGGCUCGAAAGCGUGGGGAGCAAACAGGAUUAGAUACCCUGGUAGUCCACGCCGU